GGCGCACGGGUGCGUAACACGUGGAUAAUCUGCCCUUGAAUUCGGGAUAACCUUCCGAAAGGUUGGCUAAUACCGGGUAAGCUCACGGUGACUUCGGUCGCUGUGGGAAGAGUAGACCUCUGUUUACAAGUUUACGUUUGAGGAUGAGUCCGCGGCCCAUCAGCUAGUUGGCGGGGUAAUGGCCCACCAAGGCUACGACGGGUAGCUGGUCUGAGAGGACGAUCAGCCACACUGGAACUGAGACACGGUCCAGACUCCUACGGGAGGCAGCAGUGGGGAAUUUUCCACAAUGGGCGAAAGCCUGAUGGAGCAACGCCGCGUGUGUGAUGAAGGUCUUCGGAUCGUAAAACACUUUCGACCGGGACGAAAAACCUCUGGCUAACAUCCAGGGGCCUGACGGUACCGGGAGAAGAAGCACCGGCUAACUCUGUGCCAGCAGCCGCGGUAAUACAGAGGGUGCAAGCGUUGUUCGGAAUUAUUGGGCGUAAAGCGCGUGUAGGCGGCUUGGCAAGUCAGAUGUGAAAGCCCAUGGCUUAACCAUGGAAGUGCGUCUGAAACUGCUGAGCUUGAGUGCCGGAGAGGAUGGCGGAAUUCCGCAAGUAGAGGUGAAAUUCGUAGAUAUGCGGAGGAACACCGGUGGCGAAGGCGGCCAUCUGGACGGCAACUGACGCUGAGACGCGAAAGCGUGGGGAGCAAACAGGAUUAGAUACCCUGGUAGUCCACGCUGUAAACGAUGAGAACUAGGUGUCGUGGGUGUUGACCCCCGCGGUGCCGUAGCUAACGCAUUAAGUUCUCCGCCUGGGAAGUACGGUCGCA
rnacentral:rRNA from 1 species